GGUUCUGUAGCUCAGGGUUUAGAGUUCUGGUUUUGUAAACCAGCGGUCAUGAGUUCAAAUCUCAUCAGGGCCU